rnacentral:lncRNA from 1 species
CUUGCACCAGUGGCUUCCCCGAGGCUCUCAGGCCCCCGGCCUCAGACUGAAGACUGCACUGCGGGCUUUCCUGGUUUUGAGGCUUUUGGACUUGGACUGAGCCACUACUAGCUUCUCUCUUUCCCUACCUGGCAGACAGCCUGUUGUGGGACUGCCUUCUAACCGUGUGAACCAAUUCUCUCUGGGAGCUUAUAGCUUCAUUGCACUGUGUGUGGCAUUUGGGUCCUGUUUGACAGCAAUGACUGCCUUUCUGUUUAGUGUCUGUGUGCUAUGAAGAUUGCACACAGGGGUCCAGAUGCAUCCUGUUUUGAGAAUGUUAAUGGAUACACCAGCUGCUGCUUUGGAUUUCACCCAUUGGUGGUAGUGGACCCGCUGUUUGGAAUGCAGACAAUUUAAGUGAAGACAUAUCCAUAUAUGUGGCUCUGUUACAAUGGUGAAAUCUACAACCAUAAGAAGCCAAAAAUGUGAGUAUGACAUACAAAGAGAAAUACAUCAAGGACUUUUCAUCCUCAUAGUUUGCCAGUGAUGCUGGAGAGUGUCAGAAUUGGUGCAGCACCAGUUUGAAUUUGAAUACCAGACCAAAGUGGAUGGUGAGAUAAUCCUUCAUCUUUAUGACAAAGGAGGAAUUGAGCAAACAAUUUGUACGUUGGUUGGUGUGUUUGCAUUUGUUUUACUGGAUUCUGCCAAUAAGAAAGUGUCCCUGGACAGAGAUACAUAAGGAGUCAGACCUUUGUUUAAAGCAGUGACAGAAGAUGGAUUUUUGGCUGUGCGUUCAGAAGCUAAAGCUCUGCGACUGUGGUGCCUGCAGCCAUUGGAACCAGCUCUGCACGGCUCAGACCUGGGUGAUGAGGACACAGCUUUGCAGGUGGGCAGCCACAUCCCCAGGGGGAGACUGUGGGCCUGUGGCAGGGUAGGGGCAACCAGUGCAGGGGCUCCCCAUUGUUGCCCCUGAGCUCCUGGGGCUUGUGGAGAAAGACAGGUGGAUGCACACAUACUGCAGCUCCCUGGAUCUGAGCCUUGGUUUCCCUACCUGUGAAAUGGGCACCCAUGGCAGCUCAGAAGUGUCUGGGAGCAUCCCCUGUGGGGGAAGGUGUGGGGGGCUGCUGGGGCACAGUCAUGGGGAACCCCAGUCCCCCUCUCCAUGUGCUUCCCUCAAUGCUCCCUGAUGCCAGCAGUCCUGCCCCCGAACAGAAAGGGGCAUUCCUGUGAGUUCCUUGUGUGGGGGACUGGUCACAGAGACUCCCCAAGUGCAGGGCAGGGUGGAGGGAGGCUGAGGGGUGGUUGAAUGGACAGGAGAAGAGCUCUCUCCAGUCCCUUGGGUCUGGGUGGCCUGGGGAGCAUCCAUUUGGGCAGGCAGCUGGUGGGGCUGGUGGCUGAGCCACUGUGGCUCGGGGACCCCAGGCCAGGACAGAGUAGGGUGGGCAGGGAGAGCAGAGUGCGAGCAUAUGGGGCAGGACAGGUGUCUCCUGGACAGAAAGAGCCCUGGUCACUCAUGGCUGCAGCAUAGCCAUGGCGACAGGAAAGUGCUGCUGUACAUUGUGCUCCUGGGGCUGGCUCCCAAUGGACACCCAACAGCAUCUCCCCCAUUGUACUGUGGGAUGCUGGCAGUGGUGCUGGGCACUGGGGUAAGAGCCUUGGCAAGCCCUUCGCUCCCUGGGUGUGAGACUUUGGGCUCCUGGAUGCCUGGGUUUCUGUGUCCUAUUUUUCCCAUGGAAGAUGUUUGGGGUGCUCCCAGGAAAUGGGGAGGGCCCUGGGGGGUCAGGAUUGUAUUAUUAAAGCCAGAAAGUCUGGGGUUCCAUUUUUAGCACAAGGCAGGCAGCCCAUGAGCCCCAGCCCAGUGGCCAGCCUGUGUGGGAGGGGAGUGGGGGUCUGAAGGAGUGAGGC